rnacentral:rRNA from 1 species
UGUGUAGGCGGCCCGAUAGGUCAGAUGUGAAAUCCCCAGGCUCAACCUGGGAAUUGCGUUUGAAACCAUCAGGCUUGAGGCUGGGAGAGGAAAGCGGAAUUCCUGGUGUAGCGGUGAAAUGCGUAGAUAUCAGGAGGAACACCGGUGGCGAAGGCGGCUUUCUGGACCAGACCUGACGCUAAUGCGCGAAAGCGUGGGGAGCGAACG